UGUAUUGCUCUGGGCCUCCAUUGAUUUGUCUGUAAAAUGGGAUAUUUGGGCUAUUCUGUGUCUGUAGUCUCUUAAAUUGUUAAUAUCCUCGAAUUCCAUUUUCUGAUGAUGUCUUAAUGGGUAUGUGGAUUUCCCCCUUCCUUUUUUCCAGCAGUGCUCCUCUGCACUGGCCUCAGAACAGUAGCCCACACUCCUAGAAUGAGAAAAUGGCAUCUUCUUCAGAGGACAGAGCUUCAAAUAACCUAAAAGAGAGUUGCUCUUUUUGGCCCUUCAGCAUUUUUCCUUCUUAAAAGUGAGAUAGCCUACUUUUUGGUCCUCUCACACUCCCAGUGAGGCUUUCUGGGCCUCCCUUUGUCUGUUUCCUCCCCCUCUUCCUGCUGGCAGAAGUAUGGAUUGUGGAGAGCCUCAUGCCCAUGUUGCCUGGCUACAGGGUGACAAUUCUGCCCAGUGCCUGGCUGCUGUGAACGUGCCUGAUGUCGAGAUUUCUCUGGAUCUUCCAUGGACAAUGUUCUGAGAACCUCUUGUUAGGAUGAGACCUCGAGGUGCUGUCUUGCCUCAAGAUAUUGAAAAAAGACACGAUGCGGCUAGUGUGGAGUUUUAUUGGCUACAAAACAGAUGCACAAUGAUGAGAAUCUGAAGGCUACAGUAGGAAAGGAGAGCUUUAACUCAUAAACUCACACUGAGUCGAAAAGUGCAAUAUAUUAAGAGCAUUAUAAGAAAUCUGGUGAGAUUGUUACAGAAGAAAAAAUUAAAAGUUUCUGAGUCUGAUAACUCCAAGGAUGUCUCUUAGAAGUCACUCAUUAGUGUCUGGGCGAGGACUUUCCUUGGGGGAAAAUAGAUUUUACAACAGGCAGAAAUGUUUAUUGGUCUCAUGCUUGCUUUUGGAUCUCAUUCACUUGACAAAGAACUAAUCUUCCAUUGACGGUCUCCUGUGUUAUGGCCUUGAUCUUUGGAGUUGCGGACGCUGAGAAAAAGAGUACAGAAGACGUCACUGCCAUGCUUCCUCCACCAUCUGAACUGUACUCAUUUUCAGUUCCCUGCUGUCAGCCCCUGAAGGCUCUUGGCACCUUCCAAAAUGAUCACUAAGCAAUGUGGCGGGCUCUGCUGCAGGGAAAAGGGAUUUCCUCAAGGAGGGAUUUUCUCCCACUCUCCAGGAGAUGAGGAUCUCUGAACAGUGUCACCUUCUGGAGGUGAAGACCUUCAUCAGUGACUAAACCCAGAGAUGCACACAUACGCCCACAGGAGCUGGAUGCUUGUCGCAUGCUCCUCUCAUGCCAGCCUUCGCCUUCUUACCCUUCGCUGUCUCCCUCCAGGAGCUGUCGGUAUGUGGUGAUU